CACAGGGGUUGCGAGCGUUGUCCGGAAUUACUAGGCGUAAAGGGCAGGCAGGCGGAUCCAUAAGUUUAUCGUUUAAGGCGUCGGCUUAACCGGCGUAGGGCGGUAGAUACUGUGGAUCUGGAAUGCGGUUGGGGAAGACAGAAUUCCUGGUGUAGCGGUGGAAUGCGCAGAGAUCAGGAGGAAUACCGAAGGCGAAGGCAGUCUUCCAAGCCGUUAUUGACGCUCAACUGCGAAGGUGUGGGUAUCAAACAGGAUUAGAUACCCUGGUAGUCCCU
rnacentral:rRNA from 1 species